AAGUAGCAGGUGUGCUUGCCAGUUUCUCAGCUUUUGGUUUCUCCUCCUCGUCAGUUGUGGGCGGAGGUGGCGAUAUUUCAUCAGCUUUAGGCUUCUGGUACUCAUCAGCUUUCUUUACCUCUUCAAUUGCCGGGGGCGAUGGCUCAUCAACUAUUGGCUUCUCUUCCUCAUCACUUUUCUUUACCUCUUCAAGGAUGGUUGGUGGUGGUUCCUCUAUUGUUGGCUCCUCAUCAGCUUUCUUUACUUCUUGGACUAUUACUGAAAUUGGUUCAUCAGCUUUAGGCUUUUCUUCCUCCUUUAAUUCUUCAAUAAUGGUUGCUGGUUGCUCCUCUAUUGUUGGCUUCUCUCCUUCAUCAGCUUUCUGUACUUCUUCAGCUAUAGUUGAGCCUGGUUCCUCAGCUUUCGGCUUUUCUUCCUCGCUAUCCUUCUUUGGCUCUUCAAUUACUGGAGCUUCGCUUUUUGUGUCCUCUAUUUUUUCCACUGAUUCAGUAGAAGAAACCAGUGGACUAGGGGAAUCCUCUUCUAUUGGUUUUGUUCCAUUCUCUUUAGUAGGGGUUACACUCUCUUCUUCCAUAGUCUUAACCUCUUCAAGCACUUCCUUCUCAAUUUUCUGCAAUAAACAUUGAAGAAGCAAUGAGAAGAGAAUAAAAAAGAGAUAUCAAGCAGAAAUCAAAUGAGAAAAUGUUUGAAUCCACAGGACUAAAAGGAAAAUGAAAAAGCUGGAAUAUAAAUUUUUACUUUUUAGAAUGGUGAACUGAAAAAAGGAAUGAAAUCUUGGACAUUAAUAAGCUUUCAGUUUUCAAGUGUGGUAGCUCAGUGCCCACUUCUUUGAAGAAACUUAAUGGAAUACAUAAAUCUGAACUAGUUAAGAAAAGGACAAAUUUAGGGAAAUACAAAUGGUAAUUUCCUCAUCAGUCUCAACAAAGAUUGACAUUGACAUAAAGCACCCUAGGAAAGAGGGUGAUGAGGCUUUUUCUUUGGCGAACUCAUAUAACACUAACUUUUGUCAUGUUCAAGUUACAUUCAAAGGUCAAAGGAUAAGAAAGCAACAAGAAAACGAAAUAAACAAAGAAACAGGCCAGUAUUCCUACACACAAAAAUCAGUUCUCACAAGCAAAGCAACUAAUUUUCAUCUCAGCAGAGAUGUCACUUAUCAGACAUUUCAUCAAUUUUUUUCUUAUGAUAUCAUGAGUAAUAAAAACUAGAGUAUUACAUAAAUCUGUUUUGAAGACGGAUAAAAUUCACUUGAACAGUGAAAUUAUCUCUUUUACUUUCUCAUAGAUAUCAGUGACUAAUAAGGCUUAUCACCCUAACAUCCUUAUAAAAAAAUCUAAUUUACAAUAUUCUAUAGGAUCCUUGAGCUAAAAAGAUCUCAUUCUUCUUUUUUACUUUGGUACAAUUUUCUUUUAUAACAUCUAAACUUUGUUCGGUCUAUGAUAAUAAACUCAACACAUAAUAAUAGCAGAUGACAAAGCAGGCUAAAGGGUAUUUUUGCUGCAAAACUCUAUCUAUGUCCAAACCACCAAAAAUAAAGUACUUGAAAGCUGUCAACAUAUAUAUCCAUUCAAAACAAGAUACAAAAAACAAAUAUAUCUGGUAAAAUUCAUUAGCAACUGAAGAGAAAAAAUCAUAGAAGCUUACCUCAGAGGCAGGUAUAGGAUGAUCUGAUGUAACAGUUUCAGUAGCCAUGUAUAGAGACUGAUGAUUAUGAAGAAUUCAAAGAAAUGAUCCCUCUUAAACUGAUAGAAAAGAUUCAGUAGAUUAAAGAAAGAAAGAAAAAGGAAUAGACAAGAAAGGAAAAAGAAUGAUAUGGUUGGCAAUAGCCCAAGAAAGGCUCUCAAAGCAUACAGAAGUAAGUAGAGAACCACACUCACAUACA
rnacentral:lncRNA from 1 species